AUUGAACGCUGGCGGCAGGCCUAACACAUGCAAGUCGAGCGGGGUUUUCGGACCUAGCGGCGGACGGGUGAGUAAUGCGUAGGAAGCUACCCGAUAGAGGGGGAUACCAGUUGGAAACGACUGUUAAUACCGCAUAAUGUCUACGGACCAAAGCGUGGGACAUUCGGGCCACAUGCUAUCGGAUGCGCCGACGUGGGAUGAGCUAGUUGUUGGGGUAUUGGCUCACCAAGGCGAAGCUCCCUAGCUGAUUUGAGAGGAUGAUCAGCCACACUGGAACUGAGACACGGUCCAGACUCCUACGGGAGGCAGCAGUGGGGAAUAUUGGACAAUGGGCGCAAGCCUGAUCCAGCCAUGCCGCGUGUGUGAAGAAGGCCUUCGGGUUGUAAAGCACUUUCAGUAGGGAGGAAGGGUGUUGUGUUAAUAGCACAGCAUUUUGACAUUACCUACAGAAGAAGCACCGGCUAACUCUGUGCCAGCCGCCGCCGUAAAAC
rnacentral:rRNA from 1 species